GCAAAUGUUCUCAUCAUACAUUCCCAUUUAGUCGUUCAAACCAUUUCAAUGAUAAACCUACCUCCAAUUCUGUGUACCGGCUGACGACACAUUUACCUGUUGUUAUUCCAAAUUCUUUAGGGGCUGAUGGCAGUAGUAUGAAACAACCUGAGUGCAUUGUGGCUUCAGAUUCGAAGACACAGUUACCUGAUGUUAGUCCAAACUCUCUGGAAGCUGGUGUCAGUUGUAUGAAACAACCUGAGUGCAUUGUGGCUUCAGAUUCGAAGACACAGUUACCUGAUGUUAGUCCAAACUCUCUGGAGGCUGGUGUCAGUUGUAUGAAACAACCUGAGUGCAUUGUGGUUUCAGAUUCGGUCAGUGGAGAUGUCAUUCACUCAUUUUCUGGUCAUUCUGAUUCUAAGAACAUGCAUCUGGAUGAGAUUGGAAUUCAGAUUGGAGAAACUCCAGAAAAGAAAGAAGAAGAUGAUGCAACUUCAAAACUUAAUUUCUCUGGCAAGUUAAAAGUUGGACACAUGCAGGAGUCAGUGCCACCUGCCAUAGCUGAUACUAAAGACCAGGUUUCCCUAGAAGAGGGUCCCAAUAAUUUUUUGAGCAUUGGAGUUUCAGAGCAUUCUGUACAACAGGCAAUAGAUAAGUCCUUUGAUCUUUGUCCGCCCAAGAAAGGAACUGUAAUGCUGAAUCCUUCCUUACUUGUGACUAAUAGACAAAAAAGGAAUGACUUAAAGCUUUCCAUAGAAGGGCAAAGUCAAACUAUAUUGAAGCCCGGGAUGGUGUUACUGAAGAAGUAUUUAUCCAUCAGUGAUCAGGUACCACUCUAUUGUCAGUGCUCUCUUGGCUUCUCUCCCUUGAUUAGGCUUUCUUUCAACUUGUUUAUGUUACUCCGCUCCAUCCGUUCUAUUGAAUUUAAAUGCAUGGUGAUGUUUCCUGGCAACUGAGGUGGGAUGGGUAUAGCAUCAUAAGCAUGUUAAAGGAGGCAUGGGUUCAAAACUUUUUUCAUACUAUGCCGCUAAUGUCUAAGCACUAACAGAAAAAAUAAAGAUCACUGUAUAAUUAUCUCUUUCGAGUAAAAUUCUUUUGAGUAAAAUUGAGAAAAAUUAUUACCAAAUAUUUAGCCUUUAUUACAAUUAUAAUGUCAAUUUUAUGCUCCAAUAUUCUUCUUAGGUCAAAAUAGUGAAGAUAUGCCGAGACCUUGGGCUGGGACCUGGAGGUUUCUACCAACCUGGCUACCGUGAUGGCGCCAACCUUUAUUUAAAAAUGAUGUGCCUUGGUAAAAAUUGGGACCCUGAGACAAGUCAGUAUGGCAAUAUCCGGC
rnacentral:lncRNA from 1 species